rnacentral:rRNA from 1 species
GACGAACGCUGGCGGCGUGCUUAACACAUGCAAGUCGAGCGCCCCGCAAGGGGAGCGGCAGACGGGUGAGUAACACGUGGGAACGUACCCUUCAGUUCGGAACAACCCAGGGAAACUUGGGCUAAUACCGGAUACGUCCGUAAGGAGAAAGAUUUAUCGAUGAAGGAUCGGCCCGCGUCUGAUUAGCUAGUUGGUGAGGUAAUGGCUCACCAAGGCUACGUUAAGUAGCUGGUCUGAGAGGAUGAUCAGCCACAUUGGGAAUGAGACACGGCCCAAACUCCUACGGGAGGCAGCAGUGGGGAAUAGUGGACAAUGGGGGCAACCCUGAUCCAGCCAUGCCGCGUGAGUGAUGAAGGCCCUAGGGUUGUAAAGCUCUUUUAGCAGGGAAGAUAAUGACGGUACCUGCAGAAUAAGCCCCGGCUAACUUCGUGCCAGCCGCCGCGGUAACAC